AACGAACGCUGGCGGCAGGCUUAACACAUGCAAGUCGAGCGCCCCGCAAGGGGAGCGGCAGACGGGCGAGUAACGCGUGGGAACGUACCUUUUGGUUCGGAACAACUCCGGGAAACUGGAGCUAAUACCGGAUAAGCCCUAACGGGGAAAGAUUUAUCGCCGAAAGAUCGGCCCGCGUCUGAUUAGCUAGUUGGUGAGGUAACGGCUCACCAAGGCGACGAUCAGUAGCUGGCCUGAGAGGAUGAUCAGCCACACUGGGACUGAGACACGGCCCAGACUCCUACGGGAGGCAGCAGUGGGGAAUAUUGGACAAUGGGCGCAAGCCUGAUCCAGCCAUGCCGCGUGAGUGAUGAAGGCCUUAGGGUUGUAAAGCUCUUUUGUCCGGGAAGAUAAUGACUGUACCGGAAGAAUAAGCCCCGGCUAACUUCGUG
rnacentral:rRNA from 1 species